rnacentral:rRNA from 1 species
AGCGGCGGACGGGUGAGUAACGCGUGGGUAACCUGCCUCAUACAGGGGGAUAACAGUUGGAAACGGCUGCUAAUACCGCAUAAGCGCACAGUACCGCAUGGUACCGUGUGAAAAACUCCGGUGGUAUGAGAUGGACCCGCGUCUGAUUAGGUAGUUGGUGGGGUAACGGCCUACCAAGCCGACGAUCAGUAGCCGACCUGAGAGGGUGACCGGCCACAUUGGGACUGAGACACGGCCCAG